AGUGAACGCUGGCGGCAGGCCUAAUACAUGCAAGUCGAACGGCAGCACAGCAGAGCUUGCUCUGUGGGUGGCGAGUGGCGGACGGGUGAGGAAUACAUGGGAAUCUGCCCAGUCGUGGGGGAUAACGUAUGGAAACGUACGCUAAUACCGCAUGCGCCCUACGGGGGAAAGUCGGGGACCGCAAGGCCUGACGCGAUUGGAUGAGCCCAUGUUCGAUUAGCUAGUUGGCGGGGUAAAGGCCCACCAAGGCGACGAUCGAUAGCUGGUCUGAGAGGAUGAUCAGCCACACUGGAACUGAGACACGGUCCAGACUCCUACGGGAGGCAGCAGUAGGGAAUAUUGGACAAUGGGGGCAACCCUGAUCCAGCCAUGCCGCGUGAGUGAAGAAGGCCCUCGGGUUGUAAAGCUCUUUUGUCCGGAAGAAAAGCAAUCGGUUAAUACCCGGUUGUUCUGACGGUACCGGAAGAAUAAGCACCGGCUAACUUCGUGCCAG
rnacentral:rRNA from 1 species